rnacentral:misc_RNA from 1 species
GUGAAUCAUCGAAUCUUUGAACGCACAUUGCGCCCUCUGGUAUUCCGGGGGGCAUGCCUGUUCGAGCGUCAUUACAACCCUCAAGCUCUGCUUGGUAUUGGACGCCGCCGGUUCUGGCGCGUCUUAAAAUCAGUGGCGGUGCCAUUCAGCUUCAAGCGUAGUAAUUAUUCUCGCUUUGGGUGCUGGGUGCGGACCUGCCAUUAACCCCAAAUUUAUUAAGGUUGACCUCGGAUCAGGUAGGGAUACCCGCUGAACUUAAGCAUAUCAAUAAGCGGAGGA